GAUGAACGCUAGCUACAGGCUUAACACAUGCAAGUCGAGGGGCAGCACUAGGUAGCAAUACUGAGGUGGCGACCGGCGCACGGGUGCGUAACGCGUAUCCAACCUUCCCGUUACUCUUGGAUAGCCUUCCGAAAGGGAGAUUAAUACAAGAUGGUAUUCAAAUUCCGCAUGUUAUUUGAAUUAAAGAUUUAUCGGUUAUGGAUGGGGAUGCGUAAGAUUAGGUAGUAGGCGGGGUAACGGCCCACCUAGCCGACGAUCUUUAGGGGUUCUGAGAGGAAGGUCCCCCACACUGGUACUGAGACACGGACCAGACUCCUACGGGAGGCAGCAGUGAGGAAUAUUGGUCAAUGGGCGGAAGCCUGAACCAGCCAAGUAGCGUGAAGGAUUACAGCCCUACGGGUUUUAAACUUCUUUUAUAUAAGAGUAAUGUGGUCUACGUGUAGAUUAUUGCAAGUAUUAUAUGAAUAAGCAUCGGCUAACUCCGUG
rnacentral:rRNA from 1 species